rnacentral:rRNA from 1 species
ACGCUCGACACCUACGGAGGCAGCAGUGGGGAAUAUUGCACAAUGGGGGAAACCCUGAUGCAGCGACGCCGCGUGAAGGAAGAAGUAUCUCGGUAUGUAAACUUCUAUCAGCAGGGAAGAAAAUGACGGUAUCUGACUAAGAAGCCCCGGCUAACUACGUGUCAGCAGCCGCGGUAAUCUGAGCGGGCUGGCAAGGC